GGAAUCUGCCUAGUAGUGGGGGAUAACGUCCGGAAACGGGCGCUAAUACCGCAUACGUCCUACGGGAGAAAGUGGGGGAUCUUCGGACCUCACGCUAUUAGAUGAGCCUAGGUCGGAUUAGCUAGUUGGUGAGGUAAUGGCUCACCAAGGCGACGAUCCGUAACUGGUCUGAGAGGAUGAUCAGUCACACUGGAACUGAGACACGGUCCAGACUCCUACGGGAGGCAGCAGUGGGGAAUAUUGGACAAUGGGCGAAAGCCUGAUCCAGCCAUGCCGCGUGUGUGAAGAAGGUCUUCGGAUUGUAAAGCACUUUAAGUUGGGAGGAAGGGCAGUAACCUAAUACGUUAUUGUUUUGACGUUACCGACAGAAUAAGCACCGGCUAACUCUGUGCCAGCAGCCGCGGUAAUACAGAGGGUGCAAGCGUUAAUCGGAAUUACUGGGCGUAAAGCGCGCGUAGGUGGUUUGUUAAGUUGAAUGUGAAAUCCCCGGGCUCAACCUGGGAACUGCAUCCAAAACUGGCAAGCUAGAGUAUGGCAGAGGGUGGUGGAAUUUCCUGUGUAGCGGUGAAAUGCGUAGAUAUAGGAAGGAACACCAGU
rnacentral:rRNA from 1 species